UCCCCCCGACUCAUCCAGCCAUCUGAAAAGGGGCGCCGUGCAACCACCGGCCGACAGCAUCGGAGUCCAUCUGGCGCGGUGGCCGCUGCCGGCGAUGUCCAGCGCCACCACGACCCCAGCCCAUCUGUCCCGUUCUACUCUCUCUUCCCCACCUUAUCCAGCCAUCUCCAAAGAAAAGGAAAAUGGCGGCACCGUGAGAACCACCGCCGGCAGAGGUGGAAUCGAUUCGGCGAUGUGGCCGCUGCCUGCGCCGUACAAUCCCAGCCUCUCUUAUGCCUUCUCUCAGCCCCACCGCCCACCGCCACCACGAUCCCAUCCUCGUCGCCGUCUGCUCCGCCCGCUCCCUUGUCUCCUCCGACCCUGAUCGACGCAGGUCCGCCGCCGACGCUUCUUCUGCCUCUUUUUCUGCCGCAGAGUUCCCACCAACCACCGCCCACUAUUGCCACCACCUCCCCCUCGUUGAUGUCUCGUCCGCCCUUACCCUUAUCCUGCAACGCAGACUGCCAUAGGUACGCCGGCGGAACUGUCUAGAAAGUAGAAACACUCUUCCAGGCCAAUAUAUAUCAAAUUUUCUGUCAUCCAGAGUUCAAAUCCGUGCGCCAAUGUGGAGCUGUCUAGAAACUACUCUUGCAGACAAAUAUAAAGCAAAUGGGCAGGCCUAUGGGACUAACGCUGCUGCACCCAGAGAAGCCAGACGCUGGUCACGCCAAUCUUCAGAUUGAAUGGAUUGUGAGGACUUCGCCUUCUGGUAUGGGUGAAUCUUCUUACUUGUGCAAUUGCAGAUAUGUGCUUUGACAGAAAUAACUGAUGUAAUUAGAGGAAUAGUUUACUGUGGUUAGAUUUGCUAUGCUAGCCUACUUCUAUGCUAAUAUGAUUGCUACACUGAUAAUUAGCGAAUAUAAUAGUAGUCUGAUCUUUUAUUCAUCUAUUGACGUAGAUUGCUGGACUGCAUAUAGUCACAUUCUUGUCACUAGAUCUUAUACUUUUGUGGUACCACAUGAUAUAUGCAUUGCGAUAUUGCUUACAGUUGAAAUUUUGAAGGAGUUGCUUAAGUUGACCAAAUAUGCAUUGGUACCAAAUAAUCAAGUAUGCACAUCAAUACUCAGUGGCAGCUCCAACUAGAAAUAGAUUUAUUUCUCACCAAAUUACUGAUUUGAUCCACAUGGCAGGUCCAAAAGAUACUAACAGAAAUUAAAAGUUGUCAGGAAAAACCCUUGGAUUUUGGUGUGAGACUGAAGAACCACAAGGUCAGGGCAUACUGGUUGUGUUAGGUUGAAUAUAGAGUAUGUGCACUUAUUUAAAGAUUGGUGGUUGUGCUAGAGAUUUAUAAGAAGUGCAACAUGCUUCAUACUUCACAGUUUUGUGCAUGUUGCUGUGAACGUAUUUUCUUUUCUUGCUGUAGAUUGCAAGUUGUGAAGCUUAUUAUUAGACAUGCUUGGAAUUUAUUGUGAUAGGUUCUUAGAAAAUGCUGUGAAAUUUUCAUACUUGAUCACUUCUGUAUACUACUAUGUUCUGAUUGUACUUUUUGGCUACCAUACAUGUGCAUAACAUUUGUCUUUGUUACUCCCUCUGUUCAAAAAAUUCGGACAACACUGACAGCAGGUUGCUUUGUCAUCAGUGCAUUUCCUUUGCUUGGUAGCUCCUCAUCCAAUUUUCAGGCCACACCCUGAAUAUUUGUUUCCCCUAUGUCUGUUAUCAACAUGUUUUUUUCUUUGCAGAAGCCUGGUUGAUGUAAGAAAGUUACAAGUAGUCCACAGUACUAAUAUUUUUUUAUGUACAUACAUGUGCACUCACCCCUUCUAUAUACAUAUGAUUCAAAAACAUCUUUUACUUUACAUUUUUUUCUUUGCUCUGUACAAAAUGUACUAAGUGUUGUCCAUUGUUUUUUCCUUUGCCUAAAUAUAGUACAGAGUACAUAUCCUCUAUAAGGUCCUUGUUUUUUUCCUUUGUCUAAAUAUACUACAGACCAUCAUAUAUAUGCAGUACUGAUUACCUGAUGUCCUUUUAGGUGAGAAGAUGGAUGGAGCCAGAGCUCGAAGGCCAACAUUGUUAGCAGAGAUGUUUUGGGCAAACAACUAAAAGAAGGGUAUACUAUGCUUGACACACAUGAUUCCGUGGCCUGAUAGAUGCCUAAGACUUGGGCUUCCACUGUACGACACAAGUGGAGAUGACUCUGUUUUUUGACCAUGAUCUUGAGAGUUGUUCCAAGGAAAACAACAGUUCUGUUGCAAUAGUUCUUUUAAGGUUGUACAUGAUAGUAUGUACCCGGAGAACGCAGGCCGUGCCGGUGAUUUGGGAGAUUUGGCGUGAGCGCAAUUGCCGCACUUUUCACAAUUUGGAUUCGUCGGCUGCUAUGCUUACAUGCCUUGUCGUUGACGAAGCCAAUGUUGGAAGGAGGCUGACACACCACACAUCAUUUUGUGAUAGUAAUCUAGCUUAGUGGCCCCUCUCAAUUUUGUGUUUUCUCAUUUGCUUUACAUGUGUUUGUACAUUACUCGCUCCUAUCAAUGAAAUCAAUAGCUCUGCUGUUAGGCUUAAGAAAAAACUGUCUUGGAGCUCAGUUGUUGCCUCCGUCAGAUAUUUGCACUGUAUGAACAAACUGCUAUGUGGACAGAUUUUCUAUUUGUCAUAUGCUC